GACUUGGUACUUUAAUUCUAAAAGAUCUGGUUUGCAUUCAGACAAUAAGUUUUUAUAACUUUCAGGUCA
rnacentral:tRNA from 1 species